rnacentral:rRNA from 1 species
CCCUUAGAUGUCCUGGGCCGCACGCGCGCUACACUGAUGCAUUCAACGAGUAUUUCCUUGGCCGAGAGGCCUGGGCAAUCUUUUAAACCUGCAUCGUGAUAGGGAUAGAUUAUUGCAAUUAUUAAUCUUGAACGAGGAAUUCCUAGUAAACGCAAAUCAUCAAUUUGCAUUGAUUACGUCCCUGCCCUUUGUACACACCGUCCGUCGCACCUACCGAUUGAAUGGUCCGGUGAAAUCUCGGGAUUGUGGCCAGUUCACUUUAUUGGGAGUUGGCUGCGAGAACUUGCCUAAACCUUAUCAUUUAGAGGAAGGUGAAGUCGUAACA